AUUGAACGCUGGCGGAAUGCUUUACACAUGCAAGUCGAACGGCAGCACGGACUUCGGUCUGGUGGCGAGUGGCGAACGGGUGAGUAAUGUAUCGGAGCGUGCCCAGUCGUGGGGGAUAACGUAGUGAAAAUUACGCUAAUACCGCAUACGAUCUAUGGAUGAAAGCGGGGGAUCGCAAGACCUCGAGCGAUUGGAGGGGCCGAUAUCAGAUUAGGUAGUUGGUGGGGUAAAGGCCCACCAAGCAAACGAUCUGUAGCUGGUCUGAGAGGACGACCAGCCACACUGGAACUGAGACACGGUCCAGACUCCUACGGGAGGCAGCAGUGGGGAAUUUUGGACAAUGGGCGAAAGCCUGAUCCAGCCAUUCCGCGUGCAGGAUGAAGGCCCUCGGGUUGUAAACUGCUUUUGUACAGAACGAAAAGGUUUCUACUAAUACUAGGAGCUCAUGACGGUACUGUAAGAAUAAGCACCGGCUAACUACGUGCCAGCAGCCGCCGUAA
rnacentral:rRNA from 1 species